CCCCAUGGUCUCCACCAGCGUCCCUGCGGAGUACAUGGGAGCCGCCGCUGCCGCCGGGGACAAGGAUACACAUGGAAACCGCCACAGCCUUAGGCACGCCUGCGGGCUAGCCUAUGCCUACUAUAUCCGGUGUUCUGGUGCAUCCGGUGCGACCUCAAAGAAUACAUUCUUCUAGCUGAGCUUUGAGCUCCUCAGGGACGAUGCCUGGGGUGGAAGCAGUUCAACUGCACGAUGAAGAAGUGAGUUAAGGGGUUAAGACGGUUGCGUUGGGCGUGCCCUGCUUGCUUGCUGGUGAGUGUUGCCUCUGUGACUAGGUGUUCAUUGCUGUCUAUGCUCUCUGUAGUUUAAGGUGUUUGUUCUUUUAGCAGCCAUUAAAAUACCGCAAUGUAAACGACUGUCUUCUCUAUGUCUACAACACGCACUAGAAGUAUGGAACUAAUGGCAGUGUUUUGUCUAUACAAGAUAUUAGUAUAUUAUACAUGUUUUUGAUUCUGAGGGUAUUAUAAAUUAGUAUAGACUAUCUAUCAUUCAGUUUUCGCAUAGAAGUUCAGUUUCCUUGCGUAUGGUUUUAUCAAAAGAAAUAUAGAUUAUCCCUAGGCUGUCCAUUUAUAGGUUCAAGGA